CAAGUCGAGUGCGCUUGCCGUAGCAAUACGGCAUGGCGCACGGCGCACGGGUGCGUAACACGUGGGCAAUCUGCCCUUCGAUGGGGAAUAACUCCGGGAAACCGGAGCUAAUUCCGCAUAACAUUCCUUGGACUUCGGUUCGAGGACUCAAAGCCGUAAGGCGUCGAAGGAGGAGCCCGCGCCCGAUUAGCUAGUUGGUAGGGUAACGGCCUACCAAGGCUUUGAUCGGUAGCUGGUCUGAGAGGAUGGCCAGCCACACUGGAACUGAGACACGGUCCAGACUCCUACGGGAGGCAGCAGUGGGGAAUCUUGCGCAAUGGGCGAAAGCCUGACGCAGCGACGCCGCGUGGGGGAUGAAGCAUCUCGGUGUGUAAACCCCUUUCGACUGGGACGAAUGCCUCGCAAGAGGAGUGACGGUACCAGUAGAAGAAGCCCCGGCUAACUACGUGCCAGCAGCCGCGGUAAGACGUAGGGGGCCAGCGUUGUUCGGAAUUACUGGGUGUAAAGGGUUCGUAGGCGGUGCGGCAAGUCGGGAGUGAAAUUUCUGGGCUUAACCCAGAAGCUGCUUCCGAAACUGCUGUGCUUGAGUGUGGGAGAGGCGCGUGGAAUUGCAGGUGUAGCGGUGAAAUGCGUAGAUAUCUGCAGGAACACCCGUGGCGAAAGCGGCGCGCUGGACCACAACUGACGCUGAGGAACGAAAGCUAGGGGAGCAAACAGGAUUAGAUACCCUGGUAGUCCUAGCCCUAAACGAUCAGGACUUGGGGUGCCACCCGUUCGGGUGUCGUCCCGGAGCUAACGCGUUAAGUCCUGCACCUGGGGAGUACGGUCGCAAGACUGAAACUCAAAGGAAUUGACGGGGGCCCGCACAA
rnacentral:rRNA from 1 species